CUUGCUUGGUAGCAUGGUUUGCUGGAACGCUAGGAAGCUAAGCGAGUUGAAAGCAAGUGCUUACGUACAUGGUCAGAGAAGCCCUAAGGAGAAGAGUAACUAUGGCAAUGACACCCUACAGAGCCCAUGGCUGCAGUAUCUUUGGACAAAAACAACAUCAAAGCCAGAACAAAAUGACACUUUGCCUUAAGGCCGAUAGCCAUUAUGGUGAAAAGCAUUUAUCCGCCAUUAGUGUCUGGCAGGUCUCCUUUCAGCCUAAAACCACCCUUAUUAAAAUACAGACCUCUUUCUGCACCCAAAUGCACGUUUGACCUCCCGGGCUUGACAAGAGGGUGGUUCUGAUUCCCCCCUUCCCGUUCCUCUGGGCACAGGUUGGUUACAGUGAUGACAAAUCCACACAGAGGAUCAAUGCCAUUGCCCCAGUCUCUCUCCCAGGGGACAGAAUGACAUAAAAGGAGGUUUGAGUGUGUUGGUGUAACAGCUGACCCCUGUGAUAGGGAACCCCUACUGCGGCUGAUGGAGCAAGACAUCUGGGUCAGUUCCUGAUGGACCGGGGAUAUUGGCCUGCCUGGCUUCGUCAUUCAUGUUUGACAGGUCACAGACAAGACCGCGUUACUCUGGAGGCCUACACAGGAAAUCUGAUCGCAAUGCUGCUUUUACACACACUGAAAAAAAUCCUUCAUUGGAUAAACUUAUACUUUUAUGACUAUAUCUUACAGGUAUUCUCAAUUGAAAAAAAUUUGGUUAAUUCAAAUGAAUACAUGAAUAAUCGUGAUAUUCAAUGCAUAGAGACCAUUAAAUGUUCUGUUCAGAGGGGCCCCUACUGUCAUUGUCUUUCAGUAAACUCUAAAAACUUAAACCCUGAUUUACUCAAUUGUAUUGCUGUAACAUUGAGUCAAUUUUAGCUUUGAAAUCAUGUAACAUAUCCAUUAAAAAUGGAGUGAAUGUAACUGAUAACUUGAGGUAGUUUUGAUUAAUAAAAAGUAGUACCAUGAAAAAUAAAAUUGAAGCUAUCACUGAAAUCCUGUGUAGGUACUAUAGAAAACCAUAGUGCAUCCAAAUGAGUAUGGUCUGGUCUGUUUUGAAUAAACCCAAUUCAUUGCCAUAUCCCUUCAAAGUCCAUAUGCCUAUGAGAACAUUAUUAUUAAGCACAAUGCAAGGGGGUCCUUCCCACAUGUGGCAAAUGAAUUCACCCUUACCUGAAUAACUACCAAC